rnacentral:rRNA from 1 species
GACGAACGCUGGCGGCGUGCCUAAUACAUGCAAGUAGAACGCUGAAGAGAGGAGCUUACUCUUCUUGGAUGAGUUGCGAACGGGUGAGUAACGCGUAGGUAACCUGCCUUGUAGCGGGGGAUAACUAUUGGAAACGAUAGCUAAUACCGCAUAACAAUGGAUGACACAUGUCAUUUAUUUGAAAGGGGCAAUUGCUCCACUACAAGAUGGACCUGCGUUGUAUUAGCUAGUAGGUGAGGUAAUGGCUCACCUAGGCGACGAUACAUAGCCGCCCUGAGAGGGUGAUCGGACACACUGGGACUGAGACACGGCCCAGACUCCUACGGGAGGCAGCAGUAGGGAAUCUUCGGCAAUGGGGGCAACCCUGACCGAGCAACGCCGCGUGAGUGAAGAAGGUUUUCGGAUCGUAAAGCUCUGUUGUAAGUCAAGAACGGGUGUGAGAGUGGAAAGUUCACACUGUGACGGUAGCUUACCAGAAAGGGACGGCUAACUACGUG